GCAGGCAAGCAGCUCGAGGGCAGGUGGGCAUGAUGUCUGGCUACCACUCGCACUGGACGCCACACACACAGCCAGGGUGGCAGAAGGCCCCACCUGCCAUGUGCCAGUGGGACACCACCCUCAUGGUCUGCGUUUCCAGGUUUCCAACUAAGGACUGAGCACACUCUCAACAUGGACCUCCUAACUGCUCUCGAGGAUGGACAGCUGGCCUCAAGGGAACACUGCAAAGUGGCUCUAGGAAGAAGCCACUGUCCCUCCAGACCAUAAAAAUGGCUACCAAGGGCAGAGCCAGCAGCUUUCGCUGUAAAGUUUCUCAAGAAAAUCACAGAUAUUCCCCUCUGUGAUGUUCAGCUCAGCCUGGAAAGGAGAGGUAGAAACUGAGAGUUGAAGAGGCUGAAUAAUUUCUCAAGCACACUCCCAACUCGACCACCCACAAGCAAAAAGGCAGAGCUGGGAUUCAAACACAGGUAUGACUGUGUGUGGACAUCUCCCCUGUGCUAUGCUCCCUGAAGGAAAAUUCUAAGUGGUGUUGUUUCUGGGAGAAAUCUACCUGUGUGGUCUUUAAACCUACUCUGACAGGAGCAAGGGCCACCACUCUGUAUCUAAGACCACUGGGAACAGUCUUCAGGCAACAAGGUGACCAGGGCAGCUGCAGAGGGUAUCUAUGCCCCUGCCCCCUAGCGCAAAAGUCUGUUUCUCUUUCCAAAUGGCCCGCUGGGAGCAACUAUUUAGGGAGACCAUACCUCCUCCCACACUCAGUUCCCAGGCCUGAGCCACAGAGUCCUGCCACAGGAGGGAGGACCUGCCUGUCCUGCUCCCUCCCCACUCCAGGUUCCUGGAGGCCUCUGUGAUGAUUCCCCAGGAAGGACUACAGGAUCUGGCAGGCAGCAGGUGGCGGUGGGAGGAGGAGAGUCCUGGGAGCACAGCACUCCUAACCCCCUCUGCCUCUCACAGAACAAAGAGGGAGUCAUGCCAUGUCCCCUGCUCCCACAAAUGCCCCACCCAGAGGGGCUAAUGCCUAGGAUUGAGGGUCUUGUGUGCUGAGGAAGUCCUGUCCCCCAAUCCCCUACAAAAGCCAGAACCAGCUACUAAGGGGUUAGACACAGACAGAACUGUCUAUAUUAACAUUUCCUCCUAAAAAACAACAGGAAUCCUGGGGAAAGACCACUGGCCUGGGACUCCAUGAGCCCUGGCUUCUAUCUCUGGCUUUAUCAGGUGACCAUAGGCAAGUCACCUAGCCUCCAUGGUCUAGGCUCUCCUGCCUGUUGGGUGGGAAUCAUUACAUAUCACAAUCAUUACAGCUGACCUUCAGGGAGGCUGUACUCUGGGUCAGGAAUUGUGUUGGGUGCAUUAUCAUAUUUAUUCUCACAGCACCCUUUGCAGUAGCUACUAUUUUCAUACCCAUUCUCAGAUGAGGAAACUGUGGAACAGGCUGGUUAGGGGACAUGCCCAAAGUGACAAACUUAGCAAAGGUGGACCUGGCACUCAGUACCACAUCUGUUUUUCCAUGCUCUUAACCACUGUAACAUACAGAGCCCUUUUACAGAGAUCAAGGACAGAGGUAAAAGUGUUUUGAAAGCAAAAAAAAAAAAGUGGGGAGGAUGCAUAAAAUAAACAUAAAUCACCCCCUGCCCCGCCCAGACAUAAUUCAGGGAAGAGUCCUAACCCCCAAGAACCUUCUGUGGAACUUAUUCGCAACAUCAGAGACCUCCAACAUAGAAAUGACCCUCAAUAAGUCAUUCCUCUUUCCCUUCAGGCAGGAAUAAUAUAACUAACUGAAUUAUACAGGUGAGACCACGAAGGUCAAGCAAGGGUGACCAGCUUAGGCCCCUGGCUGGCAGGAAUGACAAAGGAAUGCAUAAAGAACUUCAAAGUUCAACUCCUCGAACUUCAAACUUCAAAUCCCCAACUCCUCCUGCCUAUGCUGGACGAUUAGGGCAGUAACAGGAGUCAACUUGUGCUGUGCUGUCACCUUGCCUGGAUCCGCAUCAGCCCUGCAGCUCCCACUUUGGAGGAGACUUGCCCAGGGACCUACAGCUCUGAAGCUUCUCUGACAGCCUCUGCAGCUCUUGGAACUUAUCUGGGCUGCUGCUGUGCAGACCAUGGAUGCAUAGCUGAGUUCCUGCCCCUGAUUUCCUAGAGUCUCAGAAAGACAGGGAAGUGACUUACCCAAAGUCCCCUUUCACCCUAUAAACAGUUCAGCCCAGGGAGUGAGGCUGACACGCAAAUGCAGCUAUGUAUAGACUCAGAGUCAUCCAAGGUCAGGGCUGGGUGGAGCCUUGGUCACAUGCAGGCCAACCUGUGUCUGGAGAUAAUGCAAGCCAGUGCAGGGGUUAGCGUGUACAUGGACUCUGGAGUCUGGCAGAUCUAAGCCCCACCCACCAACCUGUGACCUUGGAGAAUUAUUUGAAAAGACAUUAUUUGAAAAGCAGAUGUAAAAUGGAAAUAAAAGUUCCUAUUUAAAACA
rnacentral:lncRNA from 1 species